UAUAUACUUUACGUCAUAUAUAUACAUGUAUACACACACGCGUGUAGGAUACUUUACUUUAUAAAUAUACACACAAUAUAAAAGAUAGCUAUAUAUAUAUAUAUAUGUAUGUGAUAUAUAUAUACUCUACAGAAAAAGAUAGGCUGUUUUAAUCAUUUUUCUACACAAUUGAAGGUAGCAUUAUCUAGUUCAAAUUUUACCUCUGCAGUCUAACACAGCUAAGCUAUUUAACUUUCAAACUAGUUGACAGGACUUGUUGACUCUCAUCUUAGCCUAAACAGCUCUUUUUGUGUGUGUCCCCCUCCGUUCUCCCUUUCUGCCCUUAAGUUUCUCGCUCCCAUUUCUUCAUCUGCCCCAUUAUCAUACAUAACAUAUAUAUAUAUUAUCCCUCUCACUGCAAAAACAGCUCCUUAAAACUAUUUUUUUUUCAAAGGUUUAGGUACUUACUGUACAACGCUUAACGAGAAUUCUGAAGACAAUUUAUUUGUUAUACGCUUUACCAAGAAGACAGACAGACAAGCAAACGUGGAAGAAACGGGAAAAUAUAUUUUAGCAAUUGUUUUGCCUUGAUUAAAACAAGUCAGAAAUCUCUAUAGAUGUAGACAGAAAAAUACAAAUAUAUAUAUUGUUUAGUUUCACGUCUCCGCUGUUUUUUUGUCACAAGUGGUUUAUUUUAAACUGCAAACACCAAGGAAAAUACGAGAGACUUUGUCGAAAAUAAUAAUUAUUAAUUAAACCACAAAAGAAAGUGUAUAUAUUAUUAUCAAAACCAAAAGUUACACCAGCAAGAAACUUUAAAAAACUAUAUAGACUUUCAUAUCGAUCUUUGCGUGUGUCUAUAUACAUAUAUUUUUUAAUAUACAUCAUACAUAUAUAGCGGGAAAAAAUCAUACGUAAAAAAGGACAUGGAAAUGGAAUUGUACCAAGUAGACUGUGUAAAAGAUGGAGAAGAUUUCUUCAGUUGCUCCCCAAGGAGUCUUCAAAGCAAGCGCGCAUGCCGUCCGAAACCUGCGCAUUUGCGUGACUUGUCAAAGAUGACGUUGGUG